rnacentral:rRNA from 1 species
UACGGAGGUGGCAAGCGUUGCUCGGAAUCACUGGGCGUAAAGGGCGCGUAGGCGGGGAGGUAAGUCGGGUGUGAAAUCCCUCGGCCCAACUGAGGAACUGCGCCCGAGACUGCUUCUCUUGAGUCCCGGAGAGGAAGAUGGAAUUCCCGGUGUAGCGGUGAAAUGUGUAGAGAUCGGGAGGAACACCGGUGGCGAAGGCGGUCUCUGGACGGUGACUGACGCUGAGGCGCGAAAGCGUGGGGAGCAAACGGG